rnacentral:rRNA from 1 species
UAGUCAUAUGCUUGUCUCAAAGAUUAAGCCAUGCAUGUCUAAGUUUAAGCAAUAAACGGUGAAACUGCGAAUGGCUCAUUAAAUCAGUCAUAGUUUAUUUGAUGGUACCCUACUACAUGGAUAACUGUGGUAAUUCUAGAGCUAAUACAUGCUGAAAAAUCUCGACUUCUGGAAGAGAUGUAUUUAUUAGAUCCAAAACCAAUGGCCUUCGGGUCCCUAUGGUGAAUCAUGAUAACUGCUCGAAUCGCAUGGCCUUGCGCCGGCGAUGCUUCAUUCAA